UACGUAGGUGGCAAGCGUUAUCCGGAUUUACUGGGUGUAAAGGGCGUGUAGGCGGGAGAGCAAGUCAGACGUGAAAUUCCAGGGCUCAACCCUGGAACUGCGUUUGAAACUGUUCUUCUUGAGUGAUGGAGAGGCAGGCGGAAUUCCGUGUGUAGCGGUGAAAUGCGUAGAUAUUAGGAGGAACACCAGUGGCGAAGGCGGCUUACUGGACGGUAACUGACGUUGAGGCUCGAAAGCGUGGGGAGCAAACAGG
rnacentral:rRNA from 1 species